AGGAGAGCACAUACAGCACACCCAGUGAAGUCCAACAGUUUGGUGUGAGCUGGGGUAGGGCUGGGGGCGGGGGGCUGAAGAGGAGCAGGGUGGCAAGAGACUAGCCAGAUGACAGAGGACCUAGUGAGCCAUGUCAAGGAGUUUGAACUUUAUCCUGAGGGCAAAGGAGAGCCAGUAAAAGGUUUUAAGGGGAAGAGUGACACAGUCUGCUUCGUAGUUUGGAAGGAUGCUUCUGGCUGCUGUGUGCAGGUUUGGAAGGAGAGACGAGAGAGAAAUCUGGAGAGAGACCCCAGUAAGGGCUCCAUGAGUGCCGAGACAUGAAGUGAAAGUGAAAGUGAAAGAGACACAAGUCAUGUACAUGUACUGAGCAGCAUGUGCAUUGACUUUCUGGAAGACCAUGAGAGAAAGAUGGCCUCCGGGAAGAGGGCCAGCCAGUGCACACACAUACCCUAUGGUUAAAAACCUAAAUACAAAUGAACCAACAGACCCAGGAACCCUGGGUGAGCUUCUCUGCAACAAAAGUCCCAGAGAAACCACCAUCAAGCAAACAUGUAAGGAGCGAACAGACGAUCAACCCGGAGACAUGGGUGGGGGGCAAGACAGAGGGCAAGUUUAACAUCUCGUCUCUAAAAUUAGCAUAGGGGCUGAUAGUGUAUGGUUGAAACUGUGACCCUCCAUGAGGCUGACCCACAGAGAAAGGUUCUGAGUUCAUGUCUGGAAACCCCCCAGGGUGUGCCAGAUUCGUGCACGCUCUUGAUCCAGGGCUGGCUGAAGUUAGGGGUAGAUGGUGAUGUCAAGACCUAUCUCUCUGUCUCUCUCUGACUUUCUCAUGGAAGUAAUAAAUAAAAUUUUAAAACAUAUUUAAAUAUACUGGUUACAGUAGCAGACCCCACCUCCCAAGAUCAUGGUGAGCAUAAAUUUAACAGAAAGCAUGUUACACAGUAUGUGGGGAGCACAAGAUAAACAGUAUCCAUCAACUUUUGGGGGGAGUUGGUUGAGGAAAGGCAUCAAGGUGAGGCCUGGGGAAGAGAUCCGUCAUCAACACAGGAUUGCUUUGUGCUCCUGAGCCUCAGUUUCCCCAACUGUGAAAGACAGAAAUGUGGGAAAAAUUUGUGCUUUGCAGAGACUGUAUCACAGGGAUGUUUUAGGGGGGUUCACAACAUGUAUUUGAAUAUCGUUUCCAAAAUUAAAGCUAUAAUUUCAUAAAAGAAAAAGGUUAAUAUGUUAAAUUACAGUGAAACAUAACAGGCAGGCCUAGGGCGUCCAACUCAUCCUGUUUUGCUUAGGACUUUUCCAGGGUUAGCACUGAAAGCCCCGUGUCCUGAAAACUCCCUCAGUCUGGGCAAAUUGGCAUGUCUGGUCGCCCUAGCAGGUAGGAUGUUCAGUCGGCCCACAACAACAUUGAAGAUUAAAAAAUAGCUAGGAUGGGCCAGCAGGUGGCGUGGUGGUUGAGGUGCUGGACCCUCACAU